AAGAGAUCGGGAUAACACCUGGAAACAGAUGCUAAUACCGGAUAACAACAGAUGAUGCCUAUCAACUGUUUAAAAGAUGGUUCUGCUAUCACUCUUGGAUGGACCUGCGGUGCAUUAGCUAGUUGGUAGGGUAACGGCCUACCAAGGCGAUGAUGCAUAGCCGAGUUGAGAGACUGAUCGGCCACAGUUGGGACUGAGACACCGGACCCAAACUCCGUACGGGAGGCAGGAGCU
rnacentral:rRNA from 1 species